UACAGAGGCCUCGAGCGUUAGGCGGAAUCACUGGGCUUAAAGCGUGUGUAGGCGGACUUCUAAGUACCUUGUGAAAUCCCACGGCUCACUCGUGGAACUGCUCGGUAUACUGGUCGUCUUGAGCCUUCUAGGGGCGAGUGGAACAAAUGGUGGAGCGGUGAAAUGCGUAGAUAUCAUUUGGAACGCCAAUGGUGAAAACAACUCGCUGGGGAAGUGCUGACGCUGAGACACGAAAGCCAGGGGAGCGAACGGG
rnacentral:rRNA from 1 species